rnacentral:lncRNA from 1 species
CUUGGUUAUGAUCUUGGAAACCUCGGACGAUGAGUAUGAUUGUAAAUAUGAUGAUACCAAGAAGGUGGAUGUUGAAUAAUAGUUUCCACAACUUCUCUGAAAAUCUCGUAUCUCUGUAUGUAUUUUGUUCAUAAAUUCCUUCAUAUUCCUGCAGUAAAAAUGUGAAUUGAUCAAUGACAGAAAAAAAUCAUAGCUCUUUUUGAGAUUGGAUUGAAUGGCAGAAAAACUUGGCAGAAACUAUUUGGGGACUGAUUGCACAUCACCACUGGAUGUGGUUUGUGCUUGUUUUCAUUUUUCAUGUGUUCUUGAUUAUUGACCCUAGGCAGAAAACGGCGGAGUUAUUAAAGAUGGGUGAACACUCAACAUAGAAUGAUUGAAAACAUCAAAAGAAAGAAAACACAAGAAACAAGAAAAGUUGAUAGAGCAAAAUCUGAUGUUCCUUGUGGCCAUACUCACCACAUGACUUGUUUGGUUACGUUGAUGAUUCCAGUAUUCAUUGCUUGUGCCGCCAUUGCUUCUAUGCUGUUCCUGGUCUAUCUGAAUCCCAAUGUUCAAAUGUUCUUCGUCCACCGCCAUGCCUUCUCUUAUUCUUGGCUCUUCGAUAAUGAUAGAGCAAGAAAAGUAUGUUUAAAUACAGAAUCGUUCAAUUUGUAGUUUCUCAUAGAAAAUUCAGUUGAUCCAAGAAAUCUGUUUUCAAUAACAGUUGGGACAAAAUAGUUAGAAGUAGGUACGAAGCUAAACCUUUUGGAAUAUACAAAUCAUUCUCACGAGCUUCUCAAGUUCAAGUUCGUAUUACCUUGGAUUGUUAGAUGUAAUCCUUGAAUAGAAGUUGUUUGUGUCUUAACUCUUAAGUAGAAGAGGUUCCAAGCAUUUAAUGGAGUAAUCAUUGCGUGUAAAAUAAAACCAAAUUCCAAGUCAAAUUUCUAUUUAUAUAAAAU